rnacentral:rRNA from 1 species
UAUGGUGACUAUUGCGAUAGGGUCCACCUCUUCCCAUUCCGAACAGAGAAGUUAAGCCUAUCAGCGCAGAUGGUACUGCUGUAACUGGCGGGAGAGUAUGUCGUCGCCAAUU